CUCGUAGGCGGUUUGUCACGUUUGCUGUGAAAUCCCGAGGCUCAACCUCGGGCCUGCAGUGGGUACGGGCAGACUGGAGUGCGGUAGGGGAGAAUGGAAUUCCUGGUGUAGCGGUGGAAUGCGCAGAUAUCAGGAGGAACACCGAUGGCGAAGGCAGUUCUCUGGGCCGUAACUGACGCUGAGGAGCGAAAGCGUGGGGAGCGAACA
rnacentral:rRNA from 1 species